AUGUUUAUGGGGAAAAAAUCUGAACAUGGUGAGUCUUGUAACUCUUUAGUGGCUUGGAAAAGAGUGUGUUGUCCCAAAGAUAAGGGAGGUCUCGGAGUGAUCAACAUUAAAGUUCAUAAUCAAGCACUCCUCCUGAAAUUCUUGGAUAAAUUUUACACUCAUUCAGAUCUCCAAUGGGUUAAAUUACUUUGGGAGUCAUACUAUACUGGUACUGUCCCUCAUCCUGUGCCUAAGUGCUGUUCAUUUUGGUGGCGAUACAUGGUUAAAAUUAUGUCUAUCUACAGAGGAGUCGCCAAAUGUGAGGUACGGAAUGGCUUACAUGUAUCCAUGUGGCAUGAUAAUUGGAAUGGUCUAGUCCUCUCGGAAAAUUUCGCCUGCUUGUAUUCAUAUACCAAGACUUAA
rnacentral:rRNA from 1 species